rnacentral:ribozyme from 1 species
CGAUGAGUAAGUAAACUCGGAAUAUUUGAGAUAUUUCCCCUCUCAAAAACUUCAAGACCCUCUCAUUCUCGAA